UGGGGAAUCUUGCGCAAUGGACGAAAGUCUGACGCAGCCACGCCGCGUGAGUGAAGAAGGCCUUCGGGUUGUAAAGCUCUGUCGGGAGGGACGAACAUCAUAUGGGUUAACAGCCUAUGUGACUGACGGUACCUUCAAAGGAAGCACCGGCUAACUCUGUGCCAGCAGCCGCGGUAAUACAGAGGGUGCAAGCGUUGCUCGGAAUUAUUGGGCGUAAAGGGUAGGUAGGUGGUCUCAUUUGUCUAGGGUGAAAGCCUUGAGCUUAACUCAAGAAGUGCCCUAGAAACGGUGAGACUGGAGUCCUGGAGAGGGUCGUGGAAUUCCCGGUGUAGCGGUGAAAUGCGUAGAGAUCGGGAGGAACACCAGCGGCGAAGGCGGCGACCUGGACAGGUACUGACACUGAACUACGAAAGCGUGGGGAGCAAACAGGAUUAGAUACCCCUGUAGUCC
rnacentral:rRNA from 1 species